UGUACCUAGAGUCCACAAAUUUGAUGGGUUUACAAAAAAGGGUCUCUUCCUUCGUUCAUAGCCUCAAGAUCUGCAAUAUUGGCACUCUCUCUAUAUAUGAAAGUCUAUCUCCUAAAAACCCUAGCUCCAACCCCAAAACUAAAAUCAUCCUCCUCUUUGUUGAUCCGCCGACUCUCUUCUACAACUUAUCUCUAUUGAAGCUUUGUAGAUUUCCUAAAAAUGAUAGAUACACUCAUUUCUUCGAGGGAACUCACCGUUAAGAAAUGCAUCAGUGGGUGAUUAUUGAUUUUUCUAUGAAGUUACAGAUUAGAUGGAGUAAUAUUAAAAGACACAAACAGAGGAAGCAUUGUGCCUAUCAGUACAAGUAACUGUUAAAGGUUCUUUUAACAUUCUAAUCAACAAUAGUUUGAUUUGUAAUUGUAUUAGUUGUAUAUUUGUAUUUGUUUUAUAUAUGUAAUAUAUCUAUAUAUUAUAUUAAAAGACAAGCGCCUCAAUGUGAGGAUGACAAAUGACACUAAAAACUGUUUACAUAUUCAAGCAUAGUUAUUUUUGUUAAAUUUCAAACAAUAAAAACAAGUUUCUAUA